UGUUCAAAUGAGAACCAGGCUCCUCUCCCAAGCCUCACAAGGUCGCAAAGCCUGCAACGUCAGACGCUCUGCUGAAUCCUUUAUUAUCUAUCUUUCCAGCCAGCAGCUGAUGAGAGAUUGCGUGUGUGCUGACUCGCAGCUCUUUCAAAUCAUGUUGAUUCGCAACUCAGCUGAUCCGGAAGGGGCCGGUCCUCCAUGUUGGCCAUUUCAGGUCAGCUCCAUAAAGGAUGCAGAGGGUGGAUUUUCAUGGUGGAAACACACAGCUGAUAUUCACAAAGCUAGUUCAUCCAGGCACACGAGAACAGUGAAAUAUGGACGUGGCCUCUUUGCCUCUCCUGCACGCCCAGUGCUUUGAAGAGUGCCUGGCACAGGCAUCCAGGGAUGCUGUUCCCGGGCGGGCCGCGAACCCUGUGCUGUGACCCUGGCUCGGGCCUGUGUGCUCUGAUCCCUUUGCAAGAGACAAGAUCAGUUAUGUGAUGCCAAAUGCUGGUGAUCCUUCAGGAAUUUAAGGAAAUAAUGAUGGAUUUAACUACGAAAUUGUUCUUGACAUCAUUGUUUCCAAUCCCCGAGAAGCAGAUGCGAUCUAAAUAGCAAAUGCAAGAGUAAAUAAAAUAGAAAACGUCGCUAUCAUAAAACACUGCCAAUAUCAAUUUUGGUCAAUCUGUGAGGUUAAAAAAUGACAAUCCAAUAAUCUUUUUAUUGGCUCUCUUUCUUUCAGUGUACGCUGCUUACCCUCAUUGCGGGUACAUCUUUAUAUUUGGUUAUUUUAAUUUUUUCUUACGGGUUAUCUGAAUGCUUCGUGAGUUAAUGAAUUGGCUUCUUGUCUGUGACUGGUGCUGUGCAUAUGACUUCCCAUUUGCCCCUUGUCUUUUGACCUCCAUAGUCUUUCGUCUUUAUUUCACCCACACGGAUGCUUUCCUUUUUCUGAACUAGAUUGAUCGAUCCUUUCCUGUGUGGCUUCUGGGUUUAGUUUCUCACUUUGGAAACUGGUUUCCAACUGCAGCAUUGUAAAUAUAUUUACCCAAAUGUCUUCAAACACUUUCAUUGCUUCAUUUUUUUCCUUUAACAUUUUAAUCCUUGACCCAUCGGGGAUAUAUUUGGGUGUAAGAAGUUAGGUGAGGAUCCCGCUUUAUUACAGUUUUUCAAAGGGUUGGCCAGUGAUUCUGACAGUAUUUACUGAAUAAUCCCCCUUUCAGACAAACCAUUUCAAUAAUUCCUUUUGUGAGGGGGUCACAGAACCCUUUGAGAAUCUGAUGAAAGCUACAGAUCUUCUCCCCAGGAAAAAAAUGUGUGCCUGUAACACACACUAAAUUUCACAAACAAUUCCAGCAGGACACACAGACCUUCAAGAGCACAUCCGUUGACUCCCAAGAGAGAGCUCAGAGAAACCUCAUCUUCCUGUGGGAAGAGAAGGGCGACGGCUCCUGAGCGCCUUUGAGGACGAGCACAGCCAUGCUGCUACACACAUACAGAUGACUCAUAAAGACGUAUUUUCACCCCCUUCAAAUGGUGAUGUUCCUGUAAUAAAGAAUUUAAUAACCUGC